GACGAACGCUGGCGGCGUGCUUAACACAUGCAAGUCGAACGAUGAAGCCCAGCUUGCUGGGUGGAUUAGUGGCGAACGGGUGAGUAACACGUGAGUAACCUGCCCUUGACUCUGGGAUAAGCACUGGAAACGGUGUCUAAUACCGGAUAUUUCAGCUGGCUGCAUGGUCUGGUUGUGGAAAGAAUUUUGGUCAAGGAUGGACUCGCGGCCUAUCAGGUUGUUGGUGAGGUAAUGGCUCACCAAGCCUACGACGGGUAGCCGGCCUGAGAGGGUGACCGGCCACACUGGGACUGAGACACGGCCCAGACUCCUACGGGAGGCAG
rnacentral:rRNA from 1 species